CAUCGCCAUGGCUGUUUCCACAGCCUUUUUAAAUUUGGAAAGAAGAACACCUAGGCUACGAUCUGAAUUAUACAAGGGAACUGGUUCAAAACCCAACCGGCGGGAGACGAGGGGCCGAACCAACAGGGGCAGAAGCGUAAAUACACAUGCGGCUUUGUUUUUGUUUUGAAGUAGCUCUUGUUUUAAACAAGACUGCGGAUCCCUGACGUAUGAUGCGGCGCUGCCGCGUGUCAACUGAAGGAUCAGGUAACCGGCAUACGGUCAUAAUCAACAGGGAUCGGGGAAAAACUGAACUCUACAUCGGUCUAUUCAACACAUGUUGAGAGCUGGAGGAACGGGAGCCGUUUCGCUCAUUCAUAACUGCAUAUGAGAAUGAAUGAUACAGCAGCAUGUGACAAACAGACCCCCUCUGCUGUUCGCGGAGAACACAAACAAUCGCGUUUUGGCCGGCGGCCCUUGGCAAAAGCACGACUACUUCAGCCACACAUGGAGAGGUAGGUGCGCCGCUGGCACGCUCCGAGGCCGAACUGCCAAAGCGGCCCUCGGCGCGUAGCUUUCUGAUCACUAUCACGGUCAUUUACCUGUCAAACAGGAUGAAACUGUGCUGGGGAAUAACAAAGAGAACAUGUUUCACAACCGUGACACAAACCUGGAUGCGUUGGAGCCGACAGAAAUAACCCUCGCGGGACACCCGAAGAGCCUGGGAAAGACACUCCGGAGCGAAAACACCCGCUUGCGUGUUUUUCUCCCGUCGCCCUCGGACGAAACGGCGAAGGCCAUUCGAAGCCGAGACCACGCGUGACCCAGAGCUCGAAGAAGCCCCUCGAGGAGACAUCGUACGGGCCCACAGACCUACCGCGAGACAACCGCCUGAAGCGGAGAAGGAAAUGAGUCGGUCAUACUUUCGAGGUAGCAGGGUUGCUGCCCUUUCUCAGCAUCCAGAUGGACUGCUCUCCCAGGAUCAUCUGCUGCAUGGGACCUCCCGAGGGUUCAGGUUUCCACCCAUGCCGUCAGCAAUUAAUGCCUCGCUUGUGCACGCCAGCCCUGUCAUGAGGCUCGUGGAAGCUGUCAGCCAGCCUUGGCAGGAGUCACAGCUCAAAACUUCGGUGAUGUCAGGACGAAAACGCGCCAUCGCUUCUGUUUUGGGCCGCAGGAGUUGCCAGCCAACUCCUUGUAGGCUCAUAACUCAGAGCCAUUUCUUCUCAGUCAUGACAGUUACAGAAGAGGGAAGUAGAGAAGACAUACAACACACAACGGUACAUCAGUAAGCCUCAUGUACCUAAAGAGUCUGGUAGUUGAGAACAUGCACUUGUGACCUUGCGCUUGGUUGCCGGUUCAAGUGCCACGAAGGGUUCCUGCAGUAGCAUCAGCAGUGAAAAAUCCUCCUGCGCACGAGUGAAAUUAUUCUGGUUACAGCCUGUUGGCUUAGCAGUAAAAGGAAACAGUGCAAUGAACUUAAAAAUCUAUCUAAAUAUAAUAAUUUAGGAGCAGCUGGCAGUGUAGUGGUUGCAUCUUC
rnacentral:lncRNA from 1 species